UCCAAUUUGACUGAAGAACAAAUUGAAAUAGCCUAAUUUUGUUCAUUCUGGUUCUUUUCCAUUUUGUGAAUUGUGUUCCUGAGAUUCCUAAUAUUGUUAUUGAUUGAAUUUGAAAUCGUCUCAUUCUACAUAAGCUUACAAUGAAAUUUGGAAAUCGAGAAGAGUCGAAAAAGAUCAUGUUGAAUUGUGCCGACUACCGAAAGCACCGAAGCAGAAUAUACUCAGUCCUACACCAUACCUUGAUCGCUGUGAUUUAGCUACUUAUUCAAGAACGCUCCUCUAUGAAGUCGGUAAUAAUUAACCAUGAAGGAAGGCUUUAAAUCGAUCGAGUGAAUGUUCAUGUUAUAGCUUUUCAAUGAUGAUGAUUAAUGCAACUGAUUGUCCCAGUGGAAGUUCAGUGUAUUCGCUUGACAGAGAUGCCGACUGAUCAAUACGCUGUGCUGAUGUCUAAAUUACUCGUAAUUUGAAAGAUGUCAAUGAUAACGCCCCCUGGUCUUCGCACUCCACGCUACACAAGGAGUCUCUGUAUCUUCUGAGUUUAUUUCAAAAUGUCCUGGAACCGUAAUACUUAAUAAUACCGCCGCCGCCCCAAGAUCAUUUUAGAAAAUUUUAGAAGGAGGAGAAUAAAUAUUGAAAACGCUAGAAACUUGUACGAUAACGAUGAAUAAGGAAAAAUCAAGACAAUUUCAACUUCACGAUAGUAGAAAAUCAUCGAAAGAAAGUGGAAAUACCGAAAGCAAAGAAUUUCGAAGUUGAGAUAGAGGUAUUCGCAUAUUUCCUCGGACCUCUGAGCAUCUUUCGAGCAAUUCGUAGCCAACGUUCGUAAAUUUCCACUACAGUAGACCGAGUAAAUGUACAUACAAUCAUUUCAGACACGAUUUACAUGAAGCAUGAUCGAGUUCGAGUGGUCCAAAAAUGAUUCGAAAAUCAGAAGGUAUCCGGUGAUAUUCCUAAAAUGAGAAGAACUACUGG